UACAGAGGGUGCGAGCGUUGCCCGGAAUCACUGGGCGUAAAGGGCGCGUAGGUGGUGACCUAAGCGUGCGGUGAAAGCCCGAGGCUCAACCUCGGGUCGGCCGUGCGAACUGGGUCACUGGAGCAGAAUAGAGGCAGGUGGAAUUCCGGGUGUAGCGGUGGAAUGCGUAGAGAUCCGGAAGAACACCGGUGGCGAAGGCGGGUCUCUGGGCAGUAACUGACGCUGAGGAGCGAAAGCGUGGGGAGCGAACAGG
rnacentral:rRNA from 1 species